rnacentral:rRNA from 1 species
UACGUAGGGGGCUAGCGUUGUCCGGAAUCAUUGGGCGUAAAGAGCGUGUAGGCGGCCCGGUAAGUCCGCUGUGAAAGUCGGGGGCUCAACCCUCGAAUGCCGGUGGAUACUGUCGGGCUAGAGUGCGGAAGAGGCGAGUGGAAUUCCUGGUGUAGCGGUGAAAUGCGCAGAUAUCAGGAGGAACACCGAUUGCGAAGGCAGCUCCGCUGGGCCAUUCCUGACGCU